CAUUAUAUAUCUUAAUUGUAAGAGUUGAAUUUUUAAUUCAAAAAUAAUAAAUUAUAUUUAUUUUUAAUGA
rnacentral:tRNA from 1 species